rnacentral:rRNA from 2 species
UGGGGAAUAUUGCACAAUGGGCGAAAGCCUGAUGCAGCGACGCCGCGUGAAGGAUGAAGUAUUUCGGUAUGUAAACUUCUAUCAGCAGGGAAGAAAAUGACGGUACCUGACUAAGAAGCCCCGGCUAACUACGUGCCAGCAGCCGCGGUAAUACGUAGGGGGCAAGCGUUAUCCGGAUUUACUGGGUGUAAAGGGAGCGUAGACGGUCUUGCAAGUCUGAAGUGAAAGCCCGGGGCUCAACCCCGGGACUGCUUUGGAAACUGUAUGACUAGAGUGUCGGAGAGGCAAGUGGAAUUCCUAGUGUAGCGGUGAAAUGCGUAGAUAUUAGGAGGAACACCAGUGGCGAAGGCGGCUUGCUGGACGAUGACUGACGUUGAGGCUCGAAAGCGUGGGGAGCAAACAGG